rnacentral:rRNA from 1 species
CCCCCCGCGGGCCCGAGUUGUACUUUGGAGAGGACGCUUCUGGCGCGGCGCCGUCCGAGUUCCCUGGAACGGGACGCCGGAGAGGGUGAGAGCCCCGUACGGGCGGCCGCCUAGCCUCUGCGAAGCUCCUUCGACGAGUCGAGUAGUUUGGGAAUGCUGCUCAAAAUGGGAGGUAAAUUUCUUCUAAAGCUAAAUACCGGCCAGAGACCGAUAGCGCACAAGUAGAGUGAUCGAAAGAUGAAAAGCACUUUGAAAAGAGGGUCAAACAGUACGUGAAAUUGUUGAAAGGGAAGCGCCUGUGGCCAGACUUGCGCCCCGCGGACCACCCGGCGCCUCGCGCGCCGGGGCACGCCAGCGGGGCGCAGGCCAGCAUCGGCUCUCUCGGGGGGACAAAGGCCGCGGGAACGUAGCGCCCUCGCGGCGUAUUAUAGCCCGCGGCGCCAUGCCCCCGGGGGGGCCGAGGACCGCGCUCCGGCAAGGAUGCUGGCGUAAUGGCCACCGGCGACCCGUCUUGAAACACGGACCAAGGAGUCAAGCAUUGGGGCGAGUGUCUGGGUGGCAAGCCCGCACGCGGAAUGAAAGUGAACGCAGGUGGGAGCUUCGGCGCACCACCGACCGAUCCUGAUGUCCUCGGAUGGAUUUGAGUAGGAGCCCCGCCGCUUGGACCCGAAAGAUGGUGAACUAUGCCUGUAUAGGGUGAAGCCAGAGGAAACUCUGGUGGAGGCCCGCAGCGGUUCUGA